UAUGCUCCUAGAAGUGUUGCAGGUGUGGCCACUCUGUCACGUGUGUAUUAGUAGAUGGCAGAGAGGAGAAAGGAUACGUUUAUGCCAGUGUUCUGACCUGUGAACAUCUGAUUGAUUAGUAGCCUAAGAUU